GUCAGCAGCCGCGGUAAUACCGGCGGCUCGAGUGGUGGCCACUUUAUUGGGCUUAAAGCGUUCGUAGCUGGGUUAUUAAGUCCCUUGGGAAAUCCGACAGCUUAACUGUCGGGCGUCUAAGAGAUACUGGUAAUCUUGGAACCGGGAGAGGUGAGGGGUACUUCGGGGGGUAGGAGUGAAAUCCUGUAAUCCUCGAGGGACCACCUGUGGCGAAGGCGCCUCACCAGAACGGCUUCGACAGUGAGGGACGAAAGCUGGGGGAGCAAACCGGAUUAGAUACCCGGGUAGUCCCAGCCGUAAACGAUGUGCGUUAGGUGUAUCGGUGACCACGAGUCACCGAGGUGCCGAAGGGAAACCGUGAAACGUACCGCCUGGGAAGUACGGUCGCAAGGCUGAAACUUAAAGGAAUUGGCGGGGGAGCACCACAACAGGUGGAGCCUGCGGUUUUAAAUUGGACUCAACGCCGGAAAUCUCACCGGAUAAGACAGCAGAAUGAUUGCCGGGCUGAAGACUCUGCAUGACUAGCUGAGAAGAGGUGCAUGG
rnacentral:rRNA from 1 species